rnacentral:rRNA from 1 species
UACAGAGGUGGCAAGCGUUGUUCGGAAUUACUGGGCGUAAAGGGCGCGUAGGCGGCCUUCUAAGUCAGACGUGAAAUCCCCCGGCUUAACCUGGGAACUGCGUCUGAUACUGGGAGGCUUGAGUAUGGGAGAGGGAUGUAGAAUUCCAGGUGUAGCGGUGAAAUGCGUAGAUAUCUGGAGGAGUACCGGUGGCGAAGGCGGCAUCCUGGACCAUAACUGACGCUGAGGCGCGAAAGCUAGGGGAGCAAACGGG